rnacentral:rRNA from 1 species
GACGAACGCUGGCGGCGUGCCUAAUACAUGCAAGUCGAGCGAAGUUUUUCUGGUGCUUGCACUAGAAAAACUUAGCGGCGAACGGGUGAGUAACACGUAAAGAACCUGCCUCAUAGACUGGGACAACUAUUGGAAACGAUAGCUAAUACCGGAUAACAGUAUUUCUCGCAUGAGAGAUAUUUAAAAGUUGGUUAUGCUAACACUAUGAGAUGGCUUUGCGGUGCAUUAGCUAGUUGGUGGGGUAAAGGCCCACCAAGGCGACGAUGCAUAGCCGACCUGAGAGGGUGAUCGGCCACACUGGGACUGAGUCACGGCCCAGACUCCUACGGGAGGCAGCAGUAGGGAAUCUUCCGCAAUGGGCGAAAGCCUGACGGAGCAACGCCGCGUGAGUGAAGAAGGAUUUCGGUUCGUAAAGCUCUGUUGUUAGGGAAGAAUGGAUAUGUAGUAACUAUACAUGUAAGAGACGGUACCUAACCAGAAAGCCACGGCUAACUACGUG